rnacentral:rRNA from 1 species
GUACACUCCUACGGGAGGCAGCAGUGGGGAAUUUUGGACAAUGGGCGAAAGCCUGAUCCAGCAAUGCCGCGUGAGUGAAGAAGGCCUUCGGGUUGUAAAGCUCUUUUGUCAGGGAAGAAACGGUGAGAGCUAAUAUCUCUUGCUAAUGACGGUACCUGAAGAAUAAGCACCGGCUAACUACGUGCCAGCAGCCGCGGUAAUACGUAGGGUGCAAGCGUUAAUCGGAAUUACUGGGCGUAAAGCGUGCGCAGGCGGUUUUGUAAGUCUGAUGUGAAAUCCCCGGGCUCAACCUGGGAAUUGCAUUGGAGACUGCAAGGCUAGAAUCUGGCAGAGGGGGGUAGAAUUCCACGUGUAGCAGUGAAAUGCGUAGAUAUGUGGAGGAACACCGAUGGCGAAGGCAGCCCCCUGGGUCAAGAUUGACGCUCAUGCACGAAAGCGUGGGGAGCAAACAGGAUUAGAAACCCCGGUAGUCCCA